AAUGUUAUCACGGGAGACACACGGCGGGUGCUAACGUCCGUCGUGAAGAGGGAAACAACCCAGACCGCCAGCUAAGGUCCCAAAGUCAUGGUUAAGUGGGAAACGAUGUGGGAAGGCCCAGACAGCCAGGAUGUUGGCUUAGAAGCAGCCAUCAUUUAAAGAAAGCGUAAUAGCUCACUGGUCGAGUCGGCCUGCGCGGAAGAUGUAACGGGGCUAAACCAUGCACCGAAGCUGCGGCAGCGACACUGUGUGUUGUUGGGUAGGGGAGCGUUCUGUAAGCCUGUGAAGGUGUGUCGUGAGGCAUGCUGGAGGUAUCAGAAGUGCGAAUGCUGACAUAAGUAACGAUAAAGCGGGUGAAAAGCCCGCUCGCCGGAAGACCAAGGGUUCCUGUCCAACGUUAAUCGGGGCAGGGUGAGUCGACCCCUAAGGCGAGGCCGAAAGGCGUAGUCGAUGGGAAACGGGUUAAUAUUCCCGUACUUGGUGUUACUGCGAAGGGGGGACGGAGAAGGCUAUGUUGGCCGGGCGACGGUUGUCCCGGUUUAAGCGUGUAGGUGUGUGU
rnacentral:rRNA from 1 species